UAGAGAGAGUACUCAUGGCUUCUAAGAGAUGUUCACUUAUGAUUUUGGCGGUUCUGUUUAUUUGUGUGUUGAGCUUUUCUACUAAUGUUGCAAUAUCUGCAAGGAUCAAUAAUAUUGGUGCUGCUUCUGAACUUCAUGCAGGUUCAGAUGAAAUGGGUCAUGGUAGGAGACUCGUCGAUCGAUCUCCAUGUGAUAAUCCGGAUCGACCUCGGCCGACAUCAACUGAUGAUCCACGCUGCCACAAUUAUUAAUUUAUGAUCUAUAUAUAAAGUUGUAUUGCAAUUGAAAGGAUCAUGAAGUUCAGAAAAUAAAUAAAAAGGAAUUAAGACAUUAAUGAAAUACUUUUUUCGUAA